UACGGAGGGGGCGAGCGUUAUUCGGAAUUAUUGGGCGUAAAGGGCGCGUAGGCGGCCCUGUAAGUCAAAGGUGAAAUCCCUCGGCUCAACUGAGGAACUGCCUUUGAAACUGCAGGGCCUGAGGCCGGGAGGGGGUAGCGGAAUUCCCAAUGUAGCGGUGAAAUGCGUAGAUAUUGGGAGGAACACCAGUGGCGAAGGCGGCUACCUGGACCGGUUCUGACGCUGAGGCGCGAAAGCGUGGGUAGCAAACAGG
rnacentral:rRNA from 1 species